CAGGACAUUCCUAUAAGUGGCUCGCUUCGAUAUAGUGUAUUGUGGGGUAGCCUACAGCGAUAUUCGUAUGGGAUGGAGAGGUACGCCACAUGGACUGAAAUCCGCCAGACCUACGGAGGCAGCAGUCGGAAUGCGCCAUGGAGGAACUCUACGCCAGUGACGCGCGGCAGAAGAAGUUUCGAUUGUAAACUGCUUAGACAGGACGAAACAAAUGACGGUACUGUAGAUAGCUCGCUACUACGUGCCAGCAGCGCGGUAAUACGUAGGGAGCAAGCGUAUCCGGAUUUAUUGGGUGUAAAGGGUGCGUAGACGGAUAAACAAGUUAGUUGUGAAAUACCUCGGCUUAACUGAGGAACUGCAACUAAAACUAUAUAUCUUGAGUACUGGAGGGGAAAGCGGAAUUCCUAGUGUAGCGGUGAAAUGUGUAGAUAUUAGGAAGAACACCGGUGGCGAAGGCGGCUUUCUGGACAGCAACUGACGUUGAGGCACGAAAGUGUGGGGAGCAAACAGGAUUAGAUACCCUGGUAGUCCACACCGUAAACGAUGGAUACUAGGUGUUGGCUGUGAUGAGCAGUCAGUGCCGUCGCAAACGCAGUAAGUAUCCCACCUGGGGAGUACGACCGCAAGGUUGAAACUCAAAGGAAUUGACGGGGGCCCGCACAAGCAGUGGAGUAUGUGGUUUAAUUCGACGCAACGCGAAGAACCUUACCAAGGCUUGACAUAUACAGGAAUAUUAUAGAAAUAUAAUAGCUCUUCGGAGUCUGUAUACAGGUGGUGCAUGGUUGUCGUCAGCUCGUGUCGUGAGAUGUUAGGUUAAGUCCUGCAACGAGCGCAACCCCUAUUUCCAGUUGCCAGCACGUAAUGGUGGGAACUCUGGAGAGACUGCCGGUAAUAAAUCGGAGGAAGGUGGGGAUGACGUCAAAUCAUCAUGCCCUUUAUGUCUUGGGCAACACACGUACUACAAUGGCCGUUACAAAGAGAAGCAACACAGUGAUGUGAAGCAAAACUUGAAAAAGCGGUCUCAGUUCGGACUGAAGGCUGAAAUUCGCCUUCACGAAGUCGGAAUUGCUAGUAAUGGCAGGUCAGCAUACUGCCGUGAAUACGUUCCCGGGCCUUGUACACACCGCCCGUCACACCAUGAGAGUUGGGAAUACCCGAAGCCUGUGAGCUAACUUAUAGGAGCAGCAGUCGAAGGUAGAAUCAAUGAUUGGGGUGAAGUCGUAACAAGGUAAAUCACUGGCCGUCGUACUCUU
rnacentral:rRNA from 1 species